rnacentral:misc_RNA from 1 species
CUGUUCGAGCGUCAUUUAACCACUCACGCCUGACGUGGUAUUGGGGCACGCGGUCUCGCGGCCCUCAAAAGCAGUGGCGGCGCCGGUGGGCUCUAAGCGUAGUACAUACUCCCGCUAUAGAGUUCCCCCGGUGGCUCGCCAGAACCCCCCCAUUUUUACCGGUUGACCUCGGAUCAGGUAGGGAUACCCGCUGAACUUAA